ACGGAAGGUAAUUGAGCAACUAGGCCGGGGAAACUCAUCACCGCUCGCUGGYWCGCUCGAGCUACCCGACCGCUGCGCGGCCGCGGACGGCUUUGCCGUCUCGUCGGCUUCCCGCAGAGCCCGGUCGGGCGGAUCCUGCUCUGAGCGGGGGAAACGGAACCCCCGCGAGUCUGCUUGAGGGCGGUGUGCACUUUUCCUUCGCCAUAGUGCGUCGCGAUCCGUUGGUCGGCGGCCUAAGGCCCGGGGUUAUUAUCGGUGCUGCGGCGCGGGUUCGCCCGCGUCGCGGUGCCGAGUCCCCGGUGUGCGUGCGGCGGGCGGCUUCACAGCGCCCGCCUUCGCUUUCCCGGCCGCCGUGUAAGCCCGCCCCGUAGCGGGGCGGCAGUUACGACGGUUAUGAAAUACGUGGAAGACGUCUCGACCGUCACCUACCCCGUCGCAAGGCGGGCGAGGGGGCGGCGGGCCUCUCCGGACCUUGGCUUUUGCCCUUCACAAGCGCGGAACGCGGUGGUUAGCUAGCGCGCGGCGGGCGGCCCGAAGGGGUUUCGUCCUCGCGCGUAUCCCAUCGAUACGUUCGCGCGGUGACAGGASAGGGGGGCUUGAGUGCUGCACUCGCCUCGGAUCAACCGGCGGCGUAAGUCUCGGUCUACUUUCCGACCCGUCUUGAAACACGGACCMAGGAGUSUAACAUGUGCGCGAGUCAAUGGGACCUUCUAAACCCAAAGGCGUAAUGAAAGUGAAGCUGGGCGGCGCGGUWAAACACCGCSGCCGCCCCGGUGAGGGAGGAUGGCACGGGGCGCACGCCCUCGCGGGCGCGUCGCUUACUCCGGCCCGCACUCCCGGGGGUCGU
rnacentral:rRNA from 1 species